CGACGGUGAUGAAGAAUUUUGUGAUCUAGUGUCUGGACCUCUGAGAGUUUCGUGACUGAUGUUUGAGUUCCUGAGUCG
rnacentral:snoRNA from 1 species